CACAUACAUAAAAGUCAAAAGUUGACACCUAAAAUUAACCAUCACAUCUACCAUCACAUUAAUAGGGUUCCUGUAUAAUAACAGGAUUUCAACUGAAAAUAACUGCAAAUUUUAGACUUAGACUUUAAGAAGGAAUCUCUAGGGAAAUCCAAAGACAAAUUGGGAGACAAAUGCAAGGACACAAGAGCAAAUUUUAGCUUCUGACACAUAAAGCUACAGGAAACAGGAAACGCAGCCUAACCACCAGCAAGAUAACCACAAAGGCUUACACUGGGCUGGUCUGAGUGCAGUGGUGUUUACAACUAAUCCAUCACAACCAGUUACAGAUUCCUUUGUUCCCUCUCCACUCCCACUGCUUCACUUGACUAGAUUUUUAAAAUACCCUCACAUUAAGGGUCAAUUUUCCUCAGCUCCUUUUACUCAAUCCAUCAUGUCCACCUUUCAGCAAAAAAUUAACAAGGUACGCUAAAAGAUGAAACACAUAGUUUGAAAAGAUAGAGUAAGCAUCAGAACUAAGUCCAGAUAUGACAGAGAUUUUGAAAUUAUCAAAACAAAUUUUAAAUAACAAUGAUUAAUAUGCUAAGGGCUCUAAUGCAUUUCUAUAUUCACUCAUAUGCUUUAUCUAAGAUAUAUUAUUUAUGAUAUUUAAAGUAGUUCUUGUCAUAUAGCUUGUUCAUCUUUAUAAUAUAUUAAAAUAUAAUGAAAUAUGUUCACCUUUACCUUGUGUCCAAUUAUAUUCUAUUCAUUUUUUACAUUUAUUUACUUUUUAAAAUAUUUAUUACAUUCUUCCCCAAAAGACUUCUUGGGUAUGUUUCUUCUUAAAAAAAAAAGGAAAUAAUCUAAAUUUGCAAGCUAGAUUAUUGAAUUCAACUCCCUCAUUCACUUAUUUCAAUCAGAUUAUGUUUUAAAAUGGCAUACUUCUAUGCCAUAUUAUGCAAUUUUUCUGGAAAUAUAUAGGUAAAUAAAGCAAAUGUAAAACAUCCUCUCAUAACUUUCCAUUUUAGAGAAAGAAAAAAAUAGUAAUCAUGGUUAAUACAUUUCAAUUAUGUUUUCAUGAGAUGUCGAGGACAAAGGAUUCUCUCAUCAGAAGCUUGAAAAAGGGAUAACAAGAAAGGAAACAAACAGGUGUACUCCAUAAAGUUCCUCUGAAACAUCUAAAAACAGAUGCCCCAUUGGUAAAUUCAUAUGUGGAUUUGGAAUCUUCAACAAUGUAUAAGCUGGACCUAAUUUGCAGGAAUCUGGUCAUUGCAAUGUAUAUGUUUAUGUCCUAUUGGUAAAUUCAUAUGUGGAUUUGGAAUCUUCAACAGUAUAUAAGCUGGACAUGAUUUGUAGGAAUCUGGGCAUGGUAAUGUAUGUGUUUACUUAUAAGUACAGUGUAGAAUGAGAAGAUGACCUAAAUCUUAGGAAGAUCGUCAAUUUACAAGAUUAGGGAAGAGAAGAGCAAAGCGUGCAGAAAUGGAGUGGUGAGUACAGUUAGGAGACAAUCAGGAGAGAAUUAUCAUCAGAAAGUAUUGAAAAAUAAAAUAAAGGGUUUAAAAAUUGAAUGAUGCACUUAGGAAAGGUUAGGACUAAACUAUCUCAGUGGAUAUGAAAACCUAGAUGCCAUUGGUGACUUUAGUAAGAUGUGGCAUGGCAGACUUGAUGAGGCAGAAACCAGACUGGAGUAGGUUCAAGGAUGAAUAAUUAUAAAAGUGUGGUAAGUUGUUUCCUCUAUUUUUACCUAGAUGGGUCCUGCUAGAGUCCUAAUUUAAAACAACAACAACAACAACAAAAAGCUUUUGUUUUCUUAAAUUUGCUUUACAGUUUUUCUAUUUCCUUGAUUUUUCACUCUUCCCUUUAUUGUUUCUUCUAUAUGUUUUCUAUAUAAUUUUUGUUUAAUU
rnacentral:lncRNA from 10 species